AUUGAACGCUGGCGGCAGGCCUAACACAUGCAAGUCGAGCGGAAGAAGGGUGCUUGCUUGUGGAUUCAGCGGCGGACGGGUGAGUAAUGCCUAGGAAUCUGCCUGGCUGUGGUGGAUAACGCCCUGAAACGGGCGCUAAUACCGCAUACGUCCAGAGGGAGAAAGUGGGGGAUCUUCGGACCUCACGCUCUCAGAUGAGUCUAGGUCGGAUUAGCUAGUUGGUGGGGUAAAGGCCUACCAAGGCGACGAUCCGUAACUGGUCUGAGAGGAUGAUCAGUCACACUGGAACUGAGACACGGUCCAGACUCCUACGGGAGGCAGCAGUGGGGAAUAUUGGACAAUGGGCGAAAGCCUGAUCCAGCCAUGCCGCGUGUGUGAAGAAGGUCUUCGGAUUGUAAAGCCCUUUUAGUGGGGAGGAAGGGCAGUAAGUUAAUACCUUGCUGUUUUGACGUUACCAACAGAAUAAGCACCGGCUAACUUCGUG
rnacentral:rRNA from 1 species